UAAUACGUAGGUGACAAGCGUUGUCCGGAUUUACUGGGCGUAAAGAGCGCGCAGGCGGUCGAUCAAGUCGAGUGUGAAAGCCCCCGGCUCAACUGGGGAGGGUCAUUCGAUACUGAUCGACUCGAAGGCAGGAGAGGGUAGUGGAAUUCCCGGUGUAGUGGUGAAAUGCGUAGAUAUCGGGAGGAACACCAGUGGCGAAGGCGA
rnacentral:rRNA from 1 species